GAUGAACGCUGGCGGCGUGCCUAAUACAUGCAAGUCGAGCGAACGGACGAGAAGCUUGCUUCUCUGAUGUUAGCGGCGGACGGGUGAGUAACACGUGGAUAACCUACCUAUAAGACUGGGAUAACUUCGGGAAACCGGAGCUAAUACCGGAUAAUAUUUUGAACCGCAUGGUUCAAAAGUGAAAGACGGUCUUGCUGUCACUUAUAGAUGGAUCCGCGCUGCAUUAGCUAGUUGGUAAGGUAACGGCUUACCAAGGCAACGAUGCAUAGCCGACCUGAGAGGGUGAUCGGCCACACUGGAACUGAGAAGCGGUCCAGACUCCUACGGGAGGCAGCAGUAGGGAAUCUUCCGCAAUGGGCGAAAGCCUGACGGAGCAACGCCGCGUGAGUGAUGAAGGUCUUCGGAUCGUAAAACUCUGUUAUUAGGGAAGAACAUAUGUGUAAGUAACUGUGCACAUCUUGACGGUACCUAAUCAGAAAGCCACGGCUAACUACGUG
rnacentral:rRNA from 1 species